UUACUCCACACGGGCGAAAUCUCCGCUCUCCCCCCACCCUCCCCAGAUGGCGGCUAUGGCGCUCCGGCCGCUGAACUGCACCACGCUCGCCGGCGGAUCCCAAAGGACGGCAGCGGAGGCUGCAACCACGCGCAGAGCGAGAAGAACGGUUCCCCUCACCUCUGCCUCCUCUCUCUCUCCUCCCCCUCCCACCAAAAAGAAGGUUCUAGUUCCCGUAGGCCUGGGCACGGAAGAGAUGGAAGCCGUCAUUCUCGUGGAUGUCCUCCGCCGAGCUGGUGCUGACGUUCUCAUGGCCUCCGUAGAGCCGGGGCUUGAGGUGGAAGCCUCUUCGGGCACAAAGCUUGUGGCUGACACUUGCAUUGCAGCCUGUGCCAACGAGAUAUUUGAUCUUGUGGCGCUACCGGGGGGAAUGCCAGGUGCUGUGCGGUUGAGAGAUUGUGAAAUCCUCAGAAAGAUGACAAUCAAGCAAGCAGAGGAGAAAAGGUUAUAUGGUGCUAUAUGUGCAGCUCCUGCGGUUGUUCUUAUGCCUUGGGGUCUGCAUAGGAGAAAACAGAUUACUUGCCAUCCAGCCUUCAUAGACAAGCUUCCUACUUUCCGGGCAGUUACAUCAAACAUUCAAGUUUCGGGUGAGCUCACCACAAGUCGUGGUCCUGCGACAACCUUUGAAUUUGUGCAAUCAUUAGUUGACCAACUGUUUGGCAGCACUGUGUCAGAAGAUAUUGGGGAAAAGCUGUUAAUGCAAGCUGAUGGUGGUCAUCAAAGAAAGGAAGAAUUUAAUAAGGUCGAGUGGUCAUUUAAUCGAGAACCUCGAGUUCUUGUUCCAAUUGCAAAUGGUUCUGAAGAAAUGGAAGUGGUAAUAUUAGUAGAUAUUCUAAGGCGUGCCAAAAUGGAUGUUGUGGUUGCAUCAAUUGAAAAAUCCAUGCCGAUUGUUGGAUCACAGAGUACGAAGAUUGUUGCAGACAAGACUCUAGCUGAUGCUUCAGAGUCAACAUAUGAUUUGAUAAUUCUUCCUGGGGGAAUUGCUGGAGUAGAGCGGUUGCACAAGUCUAGAAUGCUCAAGAAAUUACUUAAAGAACAAAAAAAAGCAGGAAGGAUAUAUGGUGGGAUCUGCUCGUCUCCAUCUUUGUUGCAGAAGCAAGGCUUACUCAAGGAUAAAAUUGUAACUGCUCAUCCUGCUGUUAUUGACAACCUCACUGGCCAAGUUGCUGAUGGAGCCGGGGUUGUAAUUGAUGGAAAACUCAUUACUUGCAGGGGCCUUGGUACUGUAAUGGAUUUUUCACUUGCUAUCGUGAGCAAGUUCUUUGGUCAUGCAAGAGCAAGAAGCGUGGCAGAAGGGAUUGUUUUUGAGUACCCCAAAGCUCAGGUUUAAAGAAUAUGGAUAGGAUAAAAGAUAUAGCAGAACUAGAAGUGAUCUAUUUGGAACCAAUGAACUGUUGACAAUCUUUGUGAUGAAGAAUAUAUAUUUGUACUGCACCAAUAUAAUCAAAGUCGGUCACUGCAUCACUUACCUGUGAUGGUGUGGAUUCAAGAUUCGAUGCACUGUUCAUGCGGAUUCUUGAUGCUGUGCAUUCAUGAGCAGGUGUUCAAACCAUGACCUUUUUGUCCAUCUAUUUGGAAAUCAACAGGUUUGACCAACUUUGGAUCAUCAUAUUUAGGUAUAAAAAAACAGCAACAAGAUAGCUAUUUUACCCGGACGUUUCAUUUUUAGGAGUUCUAGAAGGGUCAGCACUUUUGUAUAAUUGGACAUUGCAAGCCACAAUGUAAAUGGGCACUCCACUUUGAGGUUCCCUAUUGAUGUCUGCAAAAUUUGUUGAUA